CACGUAGGAGGCGAGCGUUGUCCGGAAUCAUUGGGCGUAAAGAGCGCGCAGGCGGCUUGGCAAGUCGGGUGUGAAAUCCCGGGGCUCAACCCCGUGACUGCAUUCGAUACUGUCAGGCUAGAGGUAGGUAGGGGAGAUCGGAAUUCCUGGUGUAGCGGUGAAAUGCGCAGAUAUCAGGAGGAACACCAGCGGCGAAGGCGGCGCUCUGGGCCGGAACUGACGCUGAGGAGCGAAAGCGUGGGUAGCAAACAGG
rnacentral:rRNA from 1 species